rnacentral:rRNA from 1 species
AUUGAACGCUGGCGGAAUGCUUUACACAUGCAAGUCGAACGGCAGCACGGGGCAACCUGGUGGCGAGUGGCGAACGGGUGAGUAAUACAUCGGAACGUGCCCAAUCGUGGGGGAUAACGUAGCGAAAGUUACGCUAAUACCGCAUACGAUCUACGGAUGAAAGCGGGGGAUCGCAAGACCUCGCGCGAGUGGAGCGGCCGAUGUCAGAUUAGGUAGUUGGUGGGGUAAAGGCUCACCAAGCCAACGAUCUGUAGCUGGUCUGAGAGGACGACCAGCCACACUGGAACUGAGACACGGUCCAGACUCCUACGGGAGGCAGCAGUGGGGAAUUUUGGACAAUGGGCGCAAGCCUGAUCCAGCCAUUCCGCGUGCAGGAUGAAGGCCUUCGGUUGUAAACUGCUUUGUACGGUACGAAACGGACGAGCUCUAAUACAGUUGUCUAAUGACGGUACCGUAAGAAUAAGACACCGGCUAACUACGUGCCAGCAGCCGCGGUAAACG